UGAUUUAGAUGCACUAUUGUAAAGUGGCUGUUCCACUGAUGUCAGAAGGUGAAUUCACCAAUUUGUAAGUCGCUCUGGAUAAGAGCGUCUGCUAAAUGACUUAAAUGUAAAUGUAAUGUAAAUGUAGUAGACGACACUCGGUGGUAGACCCUCAACUACAAGAUCCUGCUGAAGACACGACACAGCUCGGCCAAGGUGCGUUUCUCUACCCUGCUGAUGCUGCUGGGGCUGCCUAACUAAUCCGAGGGAGGACUACAUGGUCCUCCUGCCAGGGACUGCCCCCUUCCUGAACUCAUGGAGGGUAGGUUGACUGUGUCAUAACUGUUACGACAAAUGAGUGAGGAGGUGUGGAGUCAGGCGCAGAGAGCAAAAGAUGUGGGAAAAAACACGCUUUAAUGUCCAGGAAAAAUAACAUGAACAAAAGUAGGAAAACAAAUGAUCAGAAAUAAUAACGGACAGCGCGAAACCCAAAAUACAAACAAAAAUACACUCAAACACAGAACAGACGAACGAGCCCGCACGAAACAGAAGCCGGCUGAACAAACUAUAUAUAACCCAACCCUAACAACCAAACAAGAAACAGGUGAUACCAAUCAGACAAAACCAAAGGAACACAGAACAAUGGAUCGGUGAUAGCUAGUAGACCGGCGACGACGACCGCCGAGCGCCACCCGAACAAGAAGGGGAGUCACCUUCGGUAAUAUUCGUGACAAUAACUUGUACACAACCUGUUUUCUAUCUCCGCUGUUGUACUGUUUUGUAAUGUUAGCAUAUUAAUACCUGUCUGCCUGUUUGUCCAUCUUUUUUUCUGUGCAACAUCGUUUCAUUCCACUUCAACAGAUGUGGAAAACCUCUUCAAAUGGGCAUAUUGUAUUAUGAUCUGUAGCUAUAAUGUGAUAGCAAAUGGUUGCCGCACAUUUUUUUUAUUUUGCUUGUAGCGUAGCUACAAAGGAUUGUUGCUCAUAAUGUGUGGUUUGGCAGAAUGCAAACCUCCCUAAUGUGCCUCCAAGGUGGGUGAAGAAAGUGGGUAAUAGCAGGGUUGGGUAAUGGAAGCUACGUAAUGAUGUGUUUAGGGUAGUUAGUGAAAGCUUUGUUGGUCGAUGGCCACCAUUUUGUGAGAGAAUGGUACUGGAGGAGAUGGCUUCCGUUUUAAGGGCUCCUAACCGAUUGUGCUAUUUGUUGUUUUUCACGUUUGUAACUUAUUUUGUACAUAAUGUUUCUGCCACCAUCUCUUAUGCCCGAAAAGAGCUUCUGGAUAUCAGAACAGCGACAACUCACCUCGAACUGGACAAAGAUUUUAUUUUUUACGAGUCGGACGUGAAGGAUUUACUCCAGAUACCCGACCAGGCCCAAGUCCCCGUCAUUCCUAUUGUUGGGUUCUCAGAAUAUGAAAAUAUACUUAUCUAUGUCACUGAUGGAGUGCUGAGGUUUAGAGAGCCUACACCAGAAUGGUUAUAGGAGGAAGGUAUAUUGUGUGCAAUUAAGCUUGGAAUGUGUUGAGUGCAGGGAAGCGAUUACAUGUGGCAGGCAUUGAUAAGGGGAGAGGGCCAUGGAUUAGUGAUGGAGGGGCAUUGAGGUAAGGUCACCUUAAGAGAGAAUAAAAGUUUAUGGCCCGUAUCACUCGUGUCCUGCCUAACAGUAAAGAACGAUGUUUGUACAGAUGGGUAGGAGGAGAUUCAGCCUAUGAGGAACGCUUAAAUAUCAGUGCUUGUGUGUGAAAUGUUUUGUCUAAUGCAGCUAUAUUGAUCCUCUGGGAAUAAUAAACUUGGUUUUAUCUUUCAUAA